CUCCUACGGGAGGCAGCAGUGAGGAAUAUUGGUCAAUGGGCGAGAGCCUGAACCAGCCAAGUAGCGUGAAGGAUGACUGCCCUAUGGGUUGUAAACUUCUUUUAUAAAGGAAUAAAGUCGGGUAUGCAUACCCGUUUGCAUGUACUUUAUGAAUAAGGAUCGGCUAACUCCGUGCCAGCAGCCGCGGUAAUACGGAGGAUCCGAGCGUUAUCCGGAUUUAUUGGGUUUAAAGGGAGCGUAGAUGGAUGUUUAAGUCAGUUGUGAAAGUUUGCGGCUCAACCGUAAAAUUGCAGUUGAUACUGGAUAUCUUGAGUGCAGUUGAGGCAGGCGGAAUUCGUGGUGUAGCGGUGAAAUGCUUAGAUAUCACGAAGAACUCCGAUUGCGAAGGCAGCUCACUGGAGCGCAACUGACGCUGAAGCUCGAAAGUGCGGGUAUCGAACAGGAUUAGAUACCCUGGUAGUCCGCACGGUAAACGAUGGAUGCCCGCUGUUGGUCUGAAUAGGUCAGCGGCCAAGCGAAAGCAUUAAGCAUCCCACCUGGGGAGUACGCCGGCAACGGUGAAACUCAAAGGAAUUGACGGGGGCCCGCACAAGCGGAGGAACAUGUGGUUUAAUUCGAUGAUACGCGAGGAACCUUACCCGGGCUUGAAUUGCAGAGGAAGGAUUUGGAGACAAUGACGCCCUUCGGGGCCUCUGUGAAGGUGCUGCAUGGUUGUCGUCAGCUCGUGCCGUGAGGUGUCGGCUUAAGUGCCAUAACGAGCGCAACCCCUCUCCUUAGUUGCCAUCAGGUCAUGCUGGGCACUCUGGGGACACUGCCACCGUAAGGUGUGAGGAAGGUGGGGAUGACGUCAAAUCAGCACGGCCCUUACGUCCGGGGCUACACACGUGUUACAAUGGCAGGUACAGAGAGAUGGUCCCUUGCAAAAUGGAUCAAAUCCUUAAAGCCUGUCUCAGUUCGGACUGGGGUCUGCAACCCGACCCCACGAAGCUGGAUUCGCUAGUAAUCGCGCAUCAGCCAUGGCGCGGUGAAUACGUUCCCGGGCCUUGUACACACCGC
rnacentral:rRNA from 1 species